CAACGGAGUCUUUCUAGUGCCAAGUCUCUGUGCUCCACCAGUGAAGACCGUAGCAGGCAAUGAUGACUGUGCUUGGAGUCUCCACACUGGAAAGUGGGCUUUUUCCCUGACUUGAGCCCAGCAGCCAUCAGAGGGAAGUGGACAUCCCCAACGCCAUCCCCUCUGCCCACCUGCCGGAGUGUGACUUCCCACCAGUGCCAUCAAACCCCCACAGUGCUUCAGAGUGUAGGCCAAGCUAGCAGCCUUCACAUUGAAUUUCCUGCCCUGCUGUGAGGCAGUAACUAGCCACUCACCCCCUCUCAGUCUGCUCCAUGCUGAUCAGAAACAUUCCUGUCCCUCUGUCGGAGCCAUGACAAUUCCGUUGAGGCAGAGGCCUGGAUUGGAGCCCCUCUGCUUCCCUGGCCAGGCAGAAGCUCCACCUGUGGAACUCAGCCCCAAAACUUUUUGGGAGAAGAACAAAAAGCAAUUCUGAUUGGCUGAGCAUCUUAGGAGUGUUGUGGCCCAAAUAAAUGCUUAUUGUCAUGGUGACAAGUUCAAGCCAGGAGUGACUGGGCAUGAGGUGGAUGGCAGGGGAUGGAUGGGGAGUGCAUAGACAUAGCCUGGAACAAUUAAGACCACAGGUUCUGGAGUUAGAGUUGCGUAAAUCCUUGCUUCACCAUUUACUAGCUGUGUGUCUUUGGGCAAUUUGCUGAACCUCAUUAGCCUUGGUUUUCUCAUUUGUCAAAUGGGAAUAAUAACACCAACAUCAGACGGUUGCGCUAAAGAUUGAAGGGAAAAAAUGCAGACAAAAUACUGCUCCUCGAAUGUACUCAAAAAGCAUUAGCUUUCUUAGUGUCAACAUUGCUGGUGCUACAUUUGCACUCUGCUUGAUUCUCAACGUCUGGUAUAGGCAGCGCAUGGAGGCAGGGAGAGCUAGCUGCAUGCUUUAAAUAACAGAUCCAUGAAGAAUCUGUCACGUUUUGGAGACGCCAGCCAAAAAACAUCUUAUUUUCAGCCAAGCACUUUGUUUAUCCAGCUACAGAGUGUGACCUGUUUAUCAGAGACAAGGACACCCCAGCCCCAUUUUUGUUACUUCUCAAGAACUACGGCUGGGU
rnacentral:lncRNA from 1 species